CCUACGGGAGGCAGCAGUGGGGGAUAUUGCACAAUGGGGGAAACCCUGAUGCAGCGACGCCGCGUGGGUGAAGAAGCGCCUCGGCGCGUAAAGCCCUGUCAGCACGGCAGAAAAUGACGGUACCUGAAGAAGAAGCCCCGGCUAACUACGUGCCAUUAGCCGCGGUAAUACGUAGGGGGCAAGCGUUAUCCGGAUUUGCUGGGUGUAAAGGGGGCGCAGACGGCGAUGCAAGCCAGGAGUGAAAGCCCGGGGCCCAACCCCGGGACUGCUCUUGGAACUGCGUGGCUAGAGUGCAGGAGGGGCAGGCGGAAUUCCUGGUGUAGCGGUGAAAUGCGUAGAUAUCAGGAGGAACACCGGUGGCGAAGGCGGCCUGCUGGACUGCAACUGACGUUGAGGCCCGAAAGCGUGGGGAGCAAACAGGAUUAGAUACCCGGGUAGUC
rnacentral:rRNA from 1 species